rnacentral:rRNA from 1 species
GACAGGGAGAUUAUCACCCUGCAGCUCUUGCCAGAUUUCCCACUAAGCAGGGCUGAGCCUGGGCAGUACCUGGAUGGGAGACCUCCUGGGGAAAACUAAGGUUGCUGCUGGAC